rnacentral:rRNA from 1 species
AUUGAACGCUGGCGGCAGGCUUAACACAUGCAAGUCGAGCGGGGGAAGGUAGCUUGCUACCGGACCUAGCGGCGGACGGGUGAGUAAUGCUUAGGAAUCUGCCUAUUAGUGGGGGACAACAUCUCGAAAGGGGUGCUAAUACCGCAUACGUCCUACGGGAGAAAGCAGGGGAUCUUCGGACCUUGCGCUAAUAGAUGAGCCUAAGUCGGAUUAGCUAGGUGGUGGGGUAAAGGCCUACCAAGGCGACGAUCUGUAGCGGGUCUGAGAGGAUGAUCCGCCACACUGGGACUGAGACACGGCCCAGACUCCUACGGGAGGCAGCAGUGGGGAAUAUUGGACAAUGGGGGGAACCCUGAUCCAGCCAUGCCGCGUGUGUGAAGAAGGCCUUAUGGUUGUAAAGCACUUUAAGCGAGGAGGAGGCUACUCUAGUUAAUACCUAGGGAUAGUGGACGUUACUCGCAGAAUAAGCACCGGCUAACUCUGUGCCAGCCGCCGCAGUAA